UACGUAGGGUGCGAGCGUUAAUCGGAAUUACUGGGCGUAAAGUGUGCGCAGGCGGCCGAGCAAGUCGAGUGUGAAAGCCCCGAGCUUAACUUGGGAACUGCGCUCGAAACUACUUGGCUAGAGUGUGGCAGAGGGAGGUGGAAUUCCGACGUGUAGCGGUGAAAUGCGUAGAGAUGUGGAGGAACACCGAUGGCGAAGGCAGCCUCCUGGGCCAACACUGACGCUCAUGCACGAAAGCGUGGGGAGCAAACAGG
rnacentral:rRNA from 1 species